rnacentral:rRNA from 1 species
UACGUAGGGUGCGAGCGUUCAUCGGAAUUACUGGGCGUAAAGCGUGCGCAGGCGGUUUUGUAAGCCCGGGGGGAAAUCCCCGGGCUCAACCUGGGAAUGGCAUUUGGGACUGCAAGGCUGGAGUGCGGCAGAGGAGACUGGAAUUCCUGGUGUAGCAGUGAAAUGCGUAGAUAUCAGGAGGAACACCGAUGGCGAAGGCAGGUCUCUGGGCUGACACUGACGCUCAUGCACGAAAGCGUGGGGAGCAAACAGG